AGGGAGAAAAGCCCGCCCGAGGCGCGGUGCUGACGGUGGCUGGGCUGCCGGGUGCGCUGUGGAACCGCCUCCUGCUAGAGCAGCGGGCUGGCGACGGUCCUCGCCGGGGCGGGAAGCGGCUCAGGCUGCCCUCGCUGGCCUGCGGCGGCGCGGCUGGAAGCGCGGGCCACUCGUGCGUGGGUCACUCAGGACUGCGCCUCGCGCGACUGUGUGUGCAGGAAACAAGCAGGAAAUACCCUAAAAGAGAAUGAAGCGCCAUGUUGAGGGUCGCGGACGUCGCGAGUGCUGUGGGAAUGUGGGCUGAGGUGGAGAGUUAUGGUAGCCCGUGUUACAGGCUCAGGGGUCUGAAAGAAGCCUAAUCGUGGAGGCGGCAUCUGAGGAGGGUCUUGAAGGCUGGGCAGGCAUUUGCCCGACAGAGAUGGAGGAAGCUAGUCCUGUCUGAUGGAGGAAACAGGGCGGAGGCGUGGAGGGAGCCGUGCAGCGCUGGUGUGAGGAGCAGCGAGCAGGCCAGGCCUGUAAAGCAGAGUGAGGGAACCAGGAUAGAGAAGGCUGUACAGGAAGCAUGGUGAUGGCAUCUGCAUGGCGCCUGUGGAGGCCCCAGGGAGCUUUUACUCAUGAUGGAAGGCACAGAGGGAGUAGGCACAUCACAUGGUCCGAGGAGGAGCAAGAGAAAAUGGGAGUGGGGCUCUUUGUCCUGGGAAGAGUUUGCUGCAUCUUCCAGUUUCAGUAAUCAAAGAAGCAAAGUUCCCUGCAGUUCUUCAAGGAACCUUGAGAAUUCAGAAGGUCUUGGGGUGGCUGCAUCCAUCCUGCAGACAAAUGCCAAUCAGCAGAGGGGCCAUUCCCAGGGACACAUGUCUGGCUGACUUGGGCCUUGGCCAGGUAAGACACACAGCAUGCAUGCCUGCAUUUCUGAAUGCCAUAGACCUGACAAGUCAUAAAAUAGCAACCAAUAAUUUUAUGUUAGAGUGCUCCCUUCCUCACAGAAAUCUCAGCAUAUGUGAAGAUAGGUUGGAAUGUGUAAAGAAAAGCUAAGAAAGCAGAUUUCUGAUAAGAACAGCGUGUGACUUGUACAGCAGCUCUGAAUUACAGCCCGUAGGAUGGAAUGCUGACAGUUCCUUCUUCCUUACCUGUGAUGGCUAGAAUUUUAUUUAGCACAUCGUUUUUGAGCCAAUCUCAAAAUGAGAAAACUUUUGAGGAAUUAUGCAUAGUGUGAAGUAUAUUCUUUCCCUUGUUGCCCGUGGAGAUUCCACUGUGACAGGGCAGAUUUCCCACUGCAGGGUCGAUGGAGAUGCUGCUGCUGUCUUUGGACAUAAUAGUUUAUGACAAAGAGACCAAAAUAAUUCCUGUUUAGCCAUGCGGUUGUCUGUAAAUCUGCUUAGUUGGUCAUCCAAAGUGAUGACAUUUAAGAUAUAGUUGAUACACUGUUUAUCUUAAAGAAACAUUUUAAAAUUAAUUCUUCAGACCUAUGUAAUAUUUUAUCUUUUCUGUUUAAUAAUAUCCAAAUGUGCUUUUGUGAAGCACAAAACACAUGUGUAUUUCUUCAUAAAUCAGUCAGAUAGCUUUGAAAAUAUAUUUCAAGUAUGUAGCAAAGACCCUCAAAACACAAUUAUUGAAGCAUUAUAAAAAGGUGAAUUUGCUUCAGUUUUGGACUUUUAAUAGACUUCACUGUUAUGUAGUAAAGAUAGAAAUAUGCCAUAAAAGUCUCUGGUUAAGAGCCAAGACUUUUUCUCCUGUAUCAUUUCAGAUCCCGUCAUUUCUACCUGAUCUUUAGGAUAGACUAUGCACAUUCAGAGUGUUGAGUAAAAUUAUUAGAAAAUAUAAUACCCAUAACAUGGUUCUUUAUACCCUUUAAGUAAAUAUGUUGGCACAUGAAUUCACAAUUUAAAACGCUGACUUUGUAAGAAAUUUGCAUGUGUCUCCAGUGAAGAUAUUGUUGCCCUUGUGUUCUUUGUGCGUGAUUUAUGACAAAAUUAUGAGACCUUUACAUUU
rnacentral:lncRNA from 10 species